rnacentral:rRNA from 1 species
UGAGGAAUAUUGGGCAAUGCCCGCAAGGGUGACCCAGCAACGCCGCGUGGAGGAUGAAUGUCGUAAGAUUGUAAACUCCUGUUAGAGGGGAAGAAUAGUACCGGUUGGACCGGUAUAUGACUGUACCCUCAGAGUAAGCCCCGGCUAACUACGUGGCAGCAGCCGCGGUAAUACGUAGGGGGCAAGCGUUGUCCGGAUUUACUGGGUGUAAAGGGCGCGCAGGCGGGAUAAAAAGUCAGUGGUGAAAUCCUACAGCUUAACUGUAGAACUGCCUUUGAUACUUUUAUGCUUGAGUUCGGGAGAGAGAGACGGAAUUCCAGGUGUAGUGGUGAAAUACGUAGAUAUCUGGAAGAACACCAGUUGCGAAGGCGGUCUCUUGGUCCGACACUGACGCUGAGGCGCGAAAGCGUGGGGAGCAAACA